AAAGAUUUUUACCCCUAGAUAGGUAAAUAUCAACUUAAAAAAAUCUGUUCUCAUCAGUUUAAUAUCUGAUACGUCCCCUAUCUGGGGACCAUCUAUAAUAAAUGGAUUUUUCGAACAGGGAGAUUCAAAAAGAGCUUGCUCUGUCCACUCCACACAUUGACCUGGUAUUGCAGUACCUCCGGUGCACCCCUU